rnacentral:lncRNA from 1 species
AUUUUGGCAAUUGUACACAAAUGGAGUACAAUUUCUCCUUCCUCUGGCUGUACAUGGUGCAGAGUCACACUGGUAGUGUAAUCAUACAUGUAUAUAGGGUGAUGUCUGUCUCCAUUCCACCAUCCUUCUCAUCCCCGCACCCCCUCCCCUCACUGUCACUCCCCUCUACACAAUCCAAAAUUCCUUCACUCUUCCCCACUCACCCCCACACACCUGAUAAGCAUCUGCUUAUCAGAGAAAACAUUUGGCCUUUGGUUUUUGGGGUUUGGCUUAUUUCGCUUAGCAUGGUAUUCUCCAGCUCCAUCCAUUUACCUGCAAAUGUCAUAAUUUAAUUCUUCUUUAAAGCUCAGUAAUAUUCCAUUGUGUAUAUGUAACACAUUUUCUUUAUCCAUUCAUCUAUUGAAGGGCAUCUAGGUUGGUUCCAUAGUUCUAGUUAUUGUGAAUUGAGCUACUAUAAACAUUGAUGUAGCUAUAGUAUGCUGAUUUUAAGUUCUCUGUAUAAACCAAGGAGUGGGAUAACUGGGUCAAAUGGUGGUUCCAUUCCAUUCAUACUGCUUUCCAUAGUGGUUGUACCAAUUUGCCAUUAAGUCAGUUAAUUUAAGCAAAGGCAUAGAGGGUGGGAAGCUAGAAGAAAAUUCAGUGUGACGAUGCUUAAUGGGACUUUGGAAGUGAUGAGGUUGGAAAGAGAUUUGAAGCCAUUAUGCCAAGGGCCUUCCCUGCCGAAUCUGGACUUUAUCCUUCAGGUCCUGGGAAUCCAGUGGGAAGAUGGCAUGCUCUACUGUUUUGGAAAGCAAAUGUGGCUGUGUGUGUGUGGGGGGAAGCAGGUGGGAAAUGCCCAGCUCUUGAACCUCCUCCCCUGGUUUUGCCUCAAGGGGCUCUGACUUGAAAUACUUUUGUCAGGGAACACAAUUGGGCUGAUCAUUAUUAAUUAAUUUGUUUUUCAGAUCAGUGGUUUACCUCUACUUAAAAGACAACAAUAACGCCCCCUCUUUGUUCAAUUCCUUCAGUGAGAAAGAAUAUCAAUGGUCAAUCUUAUUCAGACACAGGAACCACACCUGGAGGCUAACCAUAGACAUAUUCAUGAGCACUGGCAUGGCCUAUUUCCAAUGUAGAAGACCUUGAGGCUCUCUGUGGGAACACUUCCAGCCAACUGCUUUGUCCCAGAUAUGGAAAACUCAAGGUGGGGUGAACCCAGAUGGAAGUUAUAUGAGGGAAGGUGGGGGUGAACUUGGAUGGAAAGGAGGACUAUAUAUAGCCUUAAUACUUUACAAUGCGUGGUGUUUAACAUACAUGUUGCUCCAUGCUCUGCCCAGAACUAUAUAUAAACUCCUAAGCUGGCACAUUAAAAUGGAUUUUUCUGCUAUCAGGCCCCCUCCUGCAUCGUGGGAGUCCUAGCUCUUGCUUAAAUAAAUCCUGCUCCAUUUACUCUUCCCUUUGGUGAUUGCGUGUGGAUUUUAUUCUUUUUUUGUGUGUGGGGGGGUACUGCAGAUUAAACUCAGGGGCACUUGACCACUGAGCCACAUCCCCAGCCCUGUUUUUUAUUUUAUUUAGAGACAGGGUCUCACUGAGUUGCUUAGCACCUCACUUUUGCUGGGAUGGGCUUUGAACUCUCGAUUCUCCUGUCUCAGCCUCCUGAACUGUUGGAAUUAUAGACAAGUGCCCCUGCGCCUGCAUUGGAGUUUAUUCAUGAAAAUUUGUGAGACAGGAACCCAG